AAUUAAGGAAGCUAGUUUGAUGGACAUAAUCUUAUCUUACCUGCUUCAGCCAAGUGAUCAACGGAUCAACUGUGGAUAGCUUGUCCUGAACGACAUCUAUUGGGAGAGUGGCGGGCAGCUUCAUGAACUGUGUCAUGGAAUUAUUAGAGAAUAUGUUCUUCAAGUCAUGGACUCUGAGUUCACGAACCUCAACAAUGCCGGUGUUGGCGGGGACCUUUACACUACAGGUUGACAAGGGUACAAUGGCAGGAAAGGAGGUCUGUGAUAAUGACCAGUUUAUAACCCAAUGUACAAGUUCCUCUCCAUAAAAAUCUCUUACGCCAAGUGACUCCCUUGUACAAGGUCGAGAACUUUCAAUCGACAAACUACUCCCCUCUACUAAGAACAUUUUAUCAAGUGGAUCAUUCUCUUGUAUAAUAUAACUGUCGCUGCUAUAGUUGGACUUGUGGAGAUGUCUAGAGAUAUCUUUCAACAAUUGACUCUCCAUUUUUUGGAAUAUUGGUACCUAUAAUUAGACAUAUAUGUAUAUUAUCAACCGCAUGUUAAUCUGAUAUAUUGAUAUUAAGUAAUUGUAAGUCAAGGCUAGGCAAGAAAUUAACUUACUUUUCUUAGCAAAGUUACCAGGUCACUGGUCAAAAGCUCCCACUCAAAAACCUCCUUUAGAUGGGGGGUCCUCCCGUCAAAAUAUGACCUGAAUUUAGAGCCUACAGUCUCCAUGUCUCUUGCCGUAAGACCAAGGACCUCAACAGUUUUAUCGAGGGCUCUGACGGAUUCAUUUGAUAUGCCUGGAAAGGAUGUCCAUGCUGGCCAAGUUAGAAGUUUUUCACCGUAUACUUGCCCUGCACCUAGUUCCAAGGGAUCACCCGAAUAAUCUUUCAUUUCAAUUUUUACAAAUCCGUCCACGAUGAAGAUCAUCUUUUCUAGUGGUUUAUCCUCUUGGAUAAUGAUAUCAUUCUUAUUGUACGUCUCGGGCUUAAGAUGGACAGAGAUUUCUCUCAAUACUUCUUCAUCCAUAUUUUGAAGCAAUGUCUAUAACAACAUAAUAUAUAGUCGAUCACUAUAGCAGAGAGAAUAAGAGAUCUCUAUAUAUAUUUAUAGUGAAUGAAUAUAGAAUUUCAAUGGAGAAGAUCCAUACGUACGUCAAGUAUAACUGUGGAGGAGUUCUUACCGUCUUUAGCCUAUUCAACGGCAUACAACUUCUCAUCUCCAUCUGAAGUGCCGAUGGAAGAAUAGAGAAGAUAUUCUCUGGAUCAACAUCUCUUUUUUCUUCUAGCUCUAAUUGGACCCAUUCCAUGAUAUAUGGUUUUCUGCUCAAAGGGAUGCCAUUGUUAGAUAACCACCGUUCUAUUGCUUCCCCUUUCUCUUCCAUCUUCUUAUGAAUUCUCAUCUUCCAUCUGUGUGUCUCCCUCCUUGAAGUCUCCAACUGAAUAUAUGUCUAUUCCAUGCAACAACAAUUAAUUAGUUUGGUUUGAUAUAUAGGUUUAGUAACUAUUUCGUAUUGGCACUCUAUAAUGCACUACAUUAGUAUACGUACAUCUAGUUUUCGACUUUUUCGUAUGUCUACGUACACGUACAAUCAUGAGCAAAGGUUAAAUUUUUUUUCAAUAAAACCCCACGAGGGGGAUUGUAUGAAUCUAAAACCAUGUUUGAGAGAUUGUUUUUUUUCUUUUCUAACAUCAGUUGAGUCACUUGGGUGAUUAAUUAAUUAGCUAUAAAUGUCAGGCUCAAAUGAGAAAACGAAACGAUAAAAAAUGACUAGCUAGGGACCGACCUGUAAAUUUCCAAUGAGAUAUAUAAAUAGUAGCAACCCAAUUAUAGAAAUAGAAGCCGCAAAGAGGUUUUCCCAUGUAUUGACACUGGUCUGGAGGUUCGAUCCAAGCGAACUGCAAAAUGAGAUCGAGCAAUUGAAAUAUAUAUUUGAGAUACAAAACUUUAGGUCUAAGUAUAAUAUUAUUAAUGGUCAAACAUCAUUUUGUCUAAUGACAUAAGUCUCUUCUUAUAAGUGAGAAAUCGGGAGUUUAACACUCAAAAUAGACUUAGACUCGUUGUAGUAUUGAGUUGUUUAACUGAUAAAAAAAUAUAUAUAGUACUAAUGCAUAUUUCUUUUAGGAAAAUGCUUCCAGGCCUUAAGGAUUUAUGGCUUUAAUCAUAGGUGGCAUGCCAAAUCCCAUAUCAGCAUCAUCAAAUAAAAAAAUCAUGCUAUGUCAUUUUUGGUAAAAAUACAAUCUUAUCCUUUCAUAUCUAAUGACUCUAGAUUAUUUUGUUUUCUAUUCUAUAAAAAAAUGUUUUUGAAGCCAUUUUUUUCAUUACUCGUGCUUAAAUUUAAAAUGUGAAAUAUAUAUAUAUAAUUAUACUCAGUUCAAAAAUAUGACUCAUUUGAAUAUAUAUAUAUAUAGACAUACAUAUAUUAAUUUUCCAGGGAAGAAAAUUAUAUAUAUAUGUAUCUAUAUAUAUAUAUAUAUGUGUGUGUUUAUAUAUAGUUCAUCCAAUAUAAAUUCGAUAGAGUAUUUUUUUUAUUCUUUUUUAAAGUUUGAUGGAGAAUAUAGUGAAUUAAGAAGUAUAAAAUUAUUUGAUUCACCAAGAUAAUUUUUAUUAAAUAUCGUAAUUGUGACCCUAAAUCUAAUGAAUUAUUAUAAUAUAUAUUUGACUCCAUAAAGAAAUGCAUUUAAUUUAGUUCAUGUAAGGUAACUAAAUCAACUACAAAAAAUUGGUAACUAAAUCAUUUUGAUGAAAAUAAACAAUAUUUGGUAUAAUUAUUUGUUAAUUUGGUGUGAUUGUUAAUUAGAUCGUUAUUAAUAAACUAUAUUUGGUAUAGGUACCUAUAUAGGCAUGUCUGUAUUAAAAGGAUACGCAAACAUUCAUAUUAGUAUACAUACUGUCAUGUAUAAAUUAAUCCUCCUUAUAAUAAGGUAAUCAGACAAAUCUAAACUUAAAUUAAAUUCGCAAAUUGGAAAGAAAAUUUAACAUUCAUAUUAGGUAGCUCAUGAAAUAUUCUGAUUCAAGAGGUAAGAAGUUCCCCACUAAUAAAUUGAUUUUUUAUAAAGGUUUAAAAUUUUCAUUUAUGAUAUUGAUUUUAAAAUGUUGAUUUAAGUAACUUGAUCACCAUACUCUAAAUUAUUUUCCUUGUUCGUUCAAAUCAUAAUAAGUUUACGUCAAGCAUGAGAACUUUUUUGGUCAAGAGAUGAACUUCAUUGAAUAGGUAUGAGAUAUAGUGAUUGAAUAUGUAUGUUAAGUGUGAAGUGAUGCUUCAUUUAAUUAAUGUCUAAAAUACAAGUCAUCAUCCACAUUAACAUAAAUUAACAUAUUGUUCUACAUGAAUAAAUACGUACUAGAUAUCCAAUGAUGAUUUCAAUAACAUUGAAAAAGAAGCUAACCAUCUUUAAUAUAUCGAUUUUAAGUCAUGAACAUAUCUUAUAAUAACAAACAAGUAUUAAGUAGUCAAUAAUGAACUAAUAAUGUUCCCUUGAAACUUUUUCCUAAUAGAAUAUUCACAUUGAAAUAAAAAUCAUUGUUCACAUUGAAAUUCAAAGUCAUAAACAUGUCACAUAGUAAAAUAUAAGUUACAAGUACCAAUAACCUAGUAUUGUUCACUUGGAACCUUUCCCAAAUAGCAUGUUUCGGAACCUUUCCCAAAUAACAUGUUCACAUGCAUUGAAAUUCACAUUAAAAUAGAAGACAUUAUUUACAUUAAAAUUUGAAGUUGCCCUUCACAUUGAAAGUUACAGUCCUAAACAUGUCUUAUAGUAACAAAGAAUUAAGUUAUACAUAGCGGAUAAUAAACUAGUAAUUUUCACUUGGAACCUUUCCCUAAUGACAUAUUCACAUUAAAAUAGAAGUCAUAAUACACAUUGAAGUUCACAUUCAAAUAUAAGUCAUUAUUCACAUUGAUAUUUAAAGUGAUAAACAUAAGUUAUAAGCAGCCAAUAAUGAGCUAGUACGUAAUGAUCACUAAACAAAUAAGUACUAAGUAGCUGAUAGUGAGUUAGUAUAAUUCACUAUAAACUUCUCUUUCGUGGAAUAUUCACACUAAAAUAAAAGAAAUAAGUACUAAGUAGCUAACUAUGUGCUACUUGCAAGUUCAUUGAGGACGUUUUCUAGCUUAAUGUCGUAUUCACACUAAAAUAGAAUAAAUAAGUUUGGGGUUUAGGGAUAAGAGUUUAGUGUUUAGGGUUUAAAUAUUAAAUAUAUUAAAUAGUUAAUAAUGAGCUAAGUACAAGUUCACUGGGGACUUUCCCUAAUGAUAUAUUUGCAUUAAAACGUACAAAACACAUUAUAUGUAUUAAAUAUCUCUUGUAUUAAUUUCAUCAUUUUAAAGUCUCAUGUAUUAACUACUUAGCAAGUUUAAACUAUUUUUUAUACUCCUCCCCUCUACUUGGUAGUACGUAUACUAAUAUAAAUGUUUGCAUAUCCUUUUAAUAUGGACAUGCCUAUAUAGGUACCAUAUACCAAAUAUAGUUUAUUAAUAACGAUCUAAUUAAUAAUGUCACAUCCCGACCCUUAAAUUUUUACCUUAUUUACUAGCUUGGUUAUAAUAAGAAUUUUACCGUCUCCGUCAAUAAAUGUAUAGUUUAAUUGGUCCUUAGAGGGGUUUGGGGGACGGUUAUUUUCGGAGGAUUAUUCGUAGGAGAAAAAUAUGACGACGGUAAAAAUGAUAAAUUUUAACUAGUAAAAGGUAAUUUUUAUUAGGGUAUUAUUUUUCGGGGUGUUUUAUUUUUGGAGUUGGGUUUGUUGUGGAGUGGGUUUAAGUUGGACCGGGUGUGGGAGAAGCCCAACACCUAUACACACUCACUUCUCUCCCGAUUUCCCUCCGCUGAAACUCCCCCCCCCCCCCCCCCCCUGCCAGACUUUCCGGCCGUUCGUCCGCCGCCGUCCGGCCACCGUUAGCCGCCGCUCCGAUCCCAAACGGUCGGCCUCCGAUCCAACUACCUCCCUAGACCGGUGACAACCCCCUUAGCGCCGCCGUGAGAGAGAAACGAUGCCCAAAACCGCUAGCUGUCGUGGUGGUUUUCUCGUCAGAACUUUCUCCUCCGGUCGCUAUAGCCGGAGCUGCUUGGCUCAAAAGAAAACCCUCCUCCCAUGCAGCAACCCCUCCAAAGGUCUCACUCUCUCUUGAGCUAGGUAAAGAGAUGUGUGGAGUUGAAUUUUAAUUUCUAGGGUUUUUUAGGACGUUUUGGUUCGAUUACCCUAGUUAGGCUUGGAAUUGAUGUUUGUGCUAGUUAGGAAAGUUGUAGAGAGGGUUGAGAGGAAGAUGCUGUCGAAAUUUCUUAGGCAUUGGAGGUCGCCGGAGUCGGCCUCCGGCCGCCGCUGUUUAGGAGAUUUUUAUGGUUUUAAAUGUGGAAUAGUAAGGAGAGUUUAUUGAUGUGAAUUAUGGAAUUUUUGGAGGAGUUUUGGUUAGGUUUGUGAAUUUCUAAAGUUUGGUAUUUUUGGCGGUUAAUUAAUGUAGAAUCCGGCUAUAGGAUUAAAGUCGUUAAAUCGGAGGGAGGUUGUGUUACGGCUGCCGAUUUUGGUAUUAAAGUUUGGAUCGUUUCGGUUUAGGAAUAUCGAAAUUAGGUGAGAAUGAGCGUGGUUACGGCUCAGAUUUAUUUUGCCUGUUUUUGAGUAAGUAUUGGAAUUUCGGUUGGGAAAUUAAUAUUAUAUUUGGAACAGGACAUGAGGAGGCUCGAGCAGACGAGGCCCCAGAUCGACAUCAGGCUUAGGCCUAAUUUUUUAGUGGACUUUUGUUUUAAAUAAUAUGCAUGCUAUGGUUAUGGUUGAACAUUUAAAUUGUUGGAGUUUUGACGUCAUUUAAUUUUGACGUUUUUAUUUCUCUUGGAGAGUUACCGAAAAAUGGGGUAAAUCCCAUUUUUCGGUGAGUAUAAAUAUGUAUAUUGAGGAGAGUAUGUAUAUAAAUGCUAGCUAGCCAUAUGUGUCUGUCCACCUUAAUAGCGUAGCAUAUAGCCGCAUUAUAGUGUGACGUGAGCGUUGAACGUGAGCGUAGUAGACCUAUAUGAGUGUUUAAUUCAUAUAGGGGGUAUGGACACAUAUUUAUACACCCGUCUGUCCACCUUAAUGGUGUGGUGUAGCACGGCAUUAAGGCGUGAGGUGAGCGUUGGACGCGAGCGUAGUUUUCUUAUAUAGACCAAUGAAUUUAUAUAGAGAGUAUGGACGUGUGUAAAUACAUACAUAUAUUUUAGAGCCUGAGAGGCUUGAUAUUUUAUGAGAUUAAAGUUUUAUUGCGUGCAGCAUGCAUUCGAUUUUUCCUUGCAAAUUGAUUUGGAGAAACAUAGAUAUUUUACUUAUUAAUUUAUCUUUGUCCACUCACUCUAACGUUUUCGAAUGUUUUCCCCUGGGCCCUUCAUUUUAAAACACCCAGUCUGCAGAGUUUAUGUUGGAUCUAGUAGGAAACGGGGCACAGUCACCUACAUUUCCACCACCUUUCAUCAGUAGGUUACCUAAUUAACCUACCCGUGUUUUCUUGCUUCCGCUAAUGUUUAGUAGCUUUGAAUACUUUGGAAUUAAUGUAAAUUAUUUCGGUGGUGUGCUCGGUCUGUCAAUUUCUGUUUAGAGUUUCUGAAGAAUAAGGUUUACUGUUUUAGUUGGAUAUUUAUGUGAUGUUUGGAUGUUGAUGUAUUGUUGAUAUUGUGGCGAUUGUGUUUGGGGGAACGGAUGGUUCCAGGAGUUAAGGUUGGAUGUGUUUUAGUAGGAGUGUAAAUUUGAAAUUUUUAGGUUAGGGUUGUCCAUUUUCAAGGGAGGUUUUGCCAAUUUUUCGGUAAAUCUUUCCUUGGGAGUGGUCCCCGCAAAAUUUACUUCGGGUUUCAGGGUGAAAUUCAGGGUGAGUCUUGACAAAUAAUCACACCAAAUUAACGAAUAAUUAUACUAAAUAUUAAUGUUUAUUUUCAUCAAAAUGAUUUAGUUACCAUUUUUAUGUAGUUGAUUUAGUUACCUUACAUGAACUAAAUUAAAUGCAUUUCUUUAUGAAGUCAAAUAUUAUAAUAAUUCAUUAGAUUUAGAGUCACAGUUACGAUAUUUAAUAAAAAUUAUCUUUGUGAAUCAAAUAGUUUUAGACUUCUUAAUUCGCCAUUAUUUUUUCUUUUUCUUUUAUAUAUAUAUAUAUAUAUAUUCUCCAUCGAACUUUAAAAAGAAGUAAAAAAAUAAAAUCUCUAUCAAAUUUAUAUUGGAUGAACUAUGUAUAAACACAUAUAUAGAUACAUAUAUAUAUAUAUGUAUAAUUUUCUCCUUGGAAAAAUUAUGUAUGUGUGUGUGUGUAUAUAAAUAUUCAAAUGAGUUCAUAUUUUCGAACUGAGUAUAAUUAUAUAUAUAUAUAUAUAUUUCAUAUUUAAAUUUAAGCACAAGUAAUAAAAAAAAGGCUUUGAAAACAUCUUUUUAUAGAAUACAAAUAAAAUAGUCUAGAUUCAUUGGAUAUGAAAGGAUAAGAUUGUAUUUUUACCCAAAAAUGACAUAGCAUGAUUUUUUUUUAUCUAAUGAUGUGGAUAGGUGAUUUGGCAUGCCAUCUAGGAUUAAGGCCAUAAAUCCUAGGCCUUAAUAAGGCCCUCUAGCACUACCCUUUCUUUUAUUCACACACCUUUUUAUUCGUAAAAAAAUAACAUAAAAAUUGAAGCAAAACAAAUCUAAGUAAAGGAUUCAGGUCCGAUAAGAAAAUAUGCGUGUAUGCUUUUAUGGCAUGUUUAUGUGUGUAUUUGAAAUUUAAUUUGAGAAGUGAGAGAAUGAUUUAAGUAUAUGAGAAUUUAUGCAUUUAUGUACACAUGAUGACAUAUGAAUGAGUAUGGGUCUCACCUCCUGAUGAAGAGAUUAACUUAACAACUCGGAUUUGAAACCAAAAGGGGGAGGUGUAUUUAGGAACCAAAGCCUCGGGAAACAAUAUUUUUAUCCAAAGUACUCUUAUGUAAAUAAGAUCAGUCGUAAUUAAUUUUUUCUUAUUCUAAUUUAAUAGGGUAAGUAAUUAAACAACUCAAUGAAAAUGAGAAAAAAAAAAAACAAAUGUAAAUGAAAUCUCCAAUUCUCCAUGUACGAUUUUAUUUUGUCUCUCAUACAUGAUCAAUUCAUAUGUAUUGUAAUAAUUAUACGCCAAAAGAAAUGCAUAUGUCAUAGGAGCAACAACAAUAUUGAUAUUAUGUCCAUAGAAGAAGAAAAAAAUAAGUAUUGGCGGUCUCAAAAACAAACCUCAAAUUUUGCAAACCCCACCAAAAACAAUUUGAGAGCUUCUCUGAAUAAUUAGUUGAAGCUAGUAUACCAAGCUGAAGGAUACUGAGAUAUAUGCCAAAAUCAAAGAACUUUUUAUUAGGGGAAUGCAUAGAGCAAGCCUCAUCUAGAAAUGCGAUAUUUCUCAGCGCAUGGUGAUCACGACAGUCCAAGUUAUUCGGGUCGCAUCCAUUUUCAAUUCGACAACCAUACUGCCAGCAAGUUGUGACUCGUUGAACAGCAAAGAAGUACCAAAAUGCUCCGAUUAUCUAUGAGAUGACAAACAUGACUUACGAUCAAAAAGACUCUGAAGUAUUCUAAUUUCAACUAAACAACUAAUAGUAAGAAUUAGAUUCAAACUUACAUGACUGGCAAAGAUGUAUAGAAAAAAAUUCAAUAGACCUUUAAGCCAGAUUGGAGUCUCUUCUUUGGAAGACUUCUUGUAGUCUUGGCACGACCGGUAAAUGCGAAAAACUCUGGGUACAUAUUGUGCUACCACAAAAAAAUUCAUAAGUUUCCUUAAAGAUCCCGAGCCCUUCAUUUUGCACAUAAAGUUGAGAAUGACGACCUGGACAGUUAAUUAUUUCAGUCUUGUAAUUAACGUAAAAGUAAGAAUAUACACGUACACACACAUACAUAUAAAAGGGUAUGCACUUCUCUAGCUAUUAUUACCUGUGGAAUGGGAAGAACAGCCAGAAUAUCAAUCAAGAUGUAUGAAUGCGCCUUAAUUAUGCCUGGUUCUUUUGCUGUAUUAUUAUUGGAGAAACUUUCCGAACGUACAGCUGAACAGUUCAUAUAGCUAUAUACUUGUAAAAAGAUGUUCAACAAAUAACAUAUAUCUGUCAACGAUCUCAGUGAAAGAGCUGCUAUCUUCAAGUUGUUGUCCAACCUCAGACACUUCAUGUCCUCGUUAAUUAUAGGGAUGUAAAGGAACAAAGGAUCCACCAGAACAGCAGAUGCUAUAAAAAAGACAUUCCACUUUCGAAUGAAUGACCCCUUAGGAUCAACAAGUUCCUUCAUCGUUAGCCAUUUCGCGCUGCUUGAUCCUUGUGCUGCAUCUGUAGUAAGGGUGUUUCUUGUUCCGGUCUCUGCAUUUGAUUCGAUAUUGCUGGACAAGAGACAAAAAUAAAACGAUGAAAUUUGGACUCUGAGUAAUCAGCUGAAAAUAGUGAAAUAGGACUACUGAUGAUAUACUAGGCAAGCAGAUCGACUCGUAGUAAAUCCUGUUAAGCUCGUCUUACAGAUAUAUAAUUUGUUCUUCUUUGAUACAGAAAUUAUUACUUUGGUACAGAAGAAAACAUAAUUAAAACAAUAUUCGAGUAAAGAAUCCAACCUUGCAGCUUUCUCUUUGUCUAUGACUGAAGUUAUUAUCUCGGGGUCGGCCAUAACUCGAUCGGACUCAACCUUGAAGCUUUCUAAAGCUUGGGGAUCGAGAUAUCGACAUAGAUGACAAUGCUAGCCAGGAGCUUACAGGAGGCAGGAAAGAGUACUACUAAUUCAACUUGCAAAACAAAUCCCUACCCGUUGUGGGCCGAUUCAACUUGACUAAUGACUACAAGACUUGCUAUGCGCGCACUAGCUUAGUGUCUUCUGGCUUUAUGCAUUUUUCAUUGAUCGAGAGUCUUCAGAGGACCAGAAAUUUGUUGGAUAUCAAGUAGGAGUAUUACAUCCAAAAACCAAAAUAUCUACUGGGAAUACAUUAAGAUGAAACAGCUUGCAAGCAAGCAUUGGAGCACGUCAUCAGGAUCAAUUAAUGGCCUCCAUCUGAAUUAUUUGAGCCUCCGCUUACUGCAUUAUUUGGGGGACCUCUUUCUGUAUGAACAUGACUGAAAAAUCUAUCAAAUUCAAACAAUUCGGCAAAGACUCCCGUGCUAACCAUACGACUAAUUAGUUCUAGUUACGUCAGCUCAUUACUGAUGAACUAGCGUUAAUGACGUAGUGUCAAUGACGUGGACCAAGUGAGGUACCUGUUCUAUACAUCUUAUCAUAUGCAAACAAAAAGAGAGAAGUUUGCCGGAACACUGUGGUAUAGCUAUCUCAACAAAAGUCUAUCUAGCAGUGUACAGUAGGAUCAAUUUAAAGUUAUAUUCACCCACCGGCAUGUCUAACAAAAAGUCAUGACAUGCUAGGAAUAAAAGUUAAAAGAUCAAAAUUCUUCAAGGAUUGUUAGAGUACUCUACCCAACACCUAACCGUGGUCGGUCAGGAUGCUAGGAACUUGUUCAUGUCAGAAUUUGGAAAGUUAACCGUAAGACGUGUUGAAAAGUUAAAAAGCCACGACAGACUCUCACCUUUCAACGCUAUGAGAAACUCAACAUCAAGUAAAACACCCACUCAUGGUCAAGUAAUGGACCUUGAAGGCCAAAGUCGUACAUGUGACUUCCUCUUUCAACCCGCAUUCCUAGAGCGCCGGCCAACACGCAUUCCUCGAUUGUCAACUCGCAGUCCUUGAGUGUUAACGACCAAAGUCUGGAAGGACAGUCCCUCUAGCCCCAUGCCUCUUAAACUUACAAUGUCGUAACAAUUUGGUGGACUUCCAUGAGACAACUUGAGAGCCUGUAAAAUAUCAAGAGUAAUAUCAAUAUAUAAAGGUACAUAAAUAUACUUACAUUAAGAGACUAGCUUCACUCACUUACCCAUGUAGGUGUCUAGAGCCCAUGGCUGGUCUUGUCAUGAUUCCUGAACAGUAUCACAAGAUGGUACAUAUGUGUAAGAAAAACAAUGGUAGCAUUAUGCUAAAGAGUGUUGGCACGUCCAAAAGCAGUGGCAUGAACAUGCCUUAGAAACAAGAGCCAUGCUUCAAUCAACAACCCACAACCACUCUCAAACUCUAUAAAAGGAAAACCCUCCUCGUUCACAAGGAGGACAGACUCUCAUUCUCCAAAAGGAAAAGCUCCACCACCCUUCCCUUCUCUAAUAUCAUCAUCAAAGGAAAAGUUCGGCAACCCAUCAAUGUUCAAGCUGGGAGUCAUUCUCUAGCUAGGCCUCAUCAACAAAUCUCAAUCCAACUCCUCAAGCUAACGAUCAUCCGGCAAAGUCAGUCAACAAAUCACAAGAAGAGAUGAGUCCUCACCAACGAAUGUUAGCCCCACAACGAUCCACAUCGGAUUUCAACGGAGACCUCUUUGACUGAAGUGUACACCGAAAUUUUGCAUCAACAACACUUUACACUCUUAUUCCAGAUUUUGACCUUUUUGUUACCAACCCAAUAUAAACUUUACUCACAAUAUAUACCUAGCCACCUUUCACUUUCACAGUACUCAGCACAGUCUUUGUCACAUUUCCAGUACUUCUGCAGUAAAAAAAAAUACCAUACAGUUUCUGGGACAUUCUCAUAACUUCUGAAGUAAUUAAUGCAUGUAUAUAUAUCAAGGGAUUCCAUGCUGAGGGCCAAGCUAGCCAUGUCUGUAUGUACAUUUUCAAACGAAUAUUAUCCUACAGGUACUACUUUAAUAUCUGCUCAAUUAUUCAACCAAAAGUAGAAAAUAGAAUCUUUUUAAUCCAGUAAUUUUCUCGAAGGACAUUGGUGACUUCAUCUGCAUUGCAUGGGGGAUGAACAUGAUUAAAGAAAUUAACCAAGAAUAUGCAUGGAGUCAAGUAUUCGGAAUUGUAAGGAGUGUUGGGCCAUUUAGUGGGAUUAACUUAUGGACAUAAUUAAGGAUUUUGAUGGGAAAAUUUCGUCAAUACAAAACUUGUUACAGGAAUGAGGUAUCUUCUUGCGAAUAUUUCUUCAUUUGAAAACUUUAGAUAAGACUCUUAUAAAUACUGAUUAGGUGAAUCCCGAAAUUCAGGACAUUAGAUAGAUCAUAUGGCAGGUAAUUAAGGACAGUAAGGACUUCAAUAUGACAGAUGUUACUACCAUGAAAGAGAGGAAAGUAGGUCUAGAAGGUAAAAGUUACAGUGGACGUUUUGCAAAAUGUCUGUUUGUUGCCAAGUUAGGCAUGAAAAGCAUUUUGUGAAUAUUGUCCGCUUUGAGCGAAAAUCACAGUAUCAUAUAUAAGUUAAAUAAACCUUUUUUGAGCUCCUUUUUGGCUAUGAUACUGUGAAUCUUGUCUGCUAGUUAAACCUUCAGUUUCGGAUUUUUCAGGAAUAUGUAUUUUUCCCUGUGAUACUGCAGAUGAUAUCUCCAGGUAAAUGAAUGCAUAUAUGGUACGCUCUUCAUUCUCCUGAGCCUGAGAACCUUCUGCAAAUUCUUUUUCCCCUAUAGUUAAAGCAUAUGUUAGCAACAAAGCGCACAAUGGACAUUUUGCAAGCCUCUUCCUCUUUCUUCGAGCCUGAAAAGUAAAAGCAUAUGUUAGCAACAAAGCGCAUAUAUCAUAGGUUACAGUGAAAGGGUUACAAGAGAGCUCACAAUGGACAUUUUGCAAGCCUCUUCCUCUUUUCAAUUUCAGACUAGCUGGCUUCUGCAUAAAAGACCUUGUGUCCUCAAAAAGUUCAAAUUCAAGGCUUUCCAAAGGAGAACUGCCACUUUCCAUUGUAGACUUCGACUCCGUGGACCUCCAAACUUCAUUAAUCUCAGGAAGCUGAUGUGACUCGGAUUUCUUGAAUCCUUUGUUUACUAUAGACAACUCCUCAGGAUCCAAGACCCCUAUGUACAAGUACGAAACCAGAAAUCUAUACAGUUCCAAGCUGUUGAUAUUUGAUAACAAGCCAAAGAAUAACUGUUAGAUACCCCAAUUAACUCAUACCUGGGCUUUUGUAAAAAGCAUUAUCCCAAGCUAAGCUCUUUCGGUAACUACAGCUCUCAAAUUUUCUUGUUCUUUCAGGUUCCAAAGACUCCGAAGGCAAUAGUAUCUCGUCCUCAUUCCCAAGUAGGUUAAUUGCAUCGCCUGUAGCUCCAGAACUCGUAGUCUGAAGCAGCUCUUCAGGGUCCAACACUCCUGAAAAUGUGGAUUUAGGCAGUGAAUAAAAAGCAACUGAGACACUUUGUUAUAUGUAUUUGAUGAGUCUCAUAAAAGAGUACCUGGACUAGUGAAGAAGGCACUGUCCCAAGCCCAACUCUUGCGGACAUUAAACGUGGAUUUGGUUUCUGAAUGUUGGGUGUCUUGUGGACUCACAUGGUCGAGUAGACUAAACCCAUCAAGCUUCUUUCUGUCAUCUGAGUUCCAUUUGAAGCAAUUUGUUCAGCAAUAUUAAAAUUCAUGAACAUAUGAAGGAAACACUUAUGGACACAUUGGCUCGAGUGCCUCUCAUAACAAAGUAACAAACCCAUUUGGCAUCUUUUACUGAAUUCAUGUUCAUACUCUUGUGAGCAGAAUUUUGUAGACUAAUCGAAGCAUGAUCAUCAAAGUUUAUGAAUUAACAAGACCUUUAAGAAUUUCUACUCAGGAAUGUAGCACCUGAAAACUGAUUGCUUCGAAAGUCCUAAGAAAUUGAAAGAAUGAAGAUAGAAAUGAACUUCUUGAUAAUCCCUAGAGAGUGAGAGAUACCUGGAAAGCCUUGCUCUUGAAAAGACAUAGACAAUGGUUCUUGUCUUCUUGAAAGAGAGUGAGACAGUGAGUUCCCGAGGGAAAACUCAAAAUAACAAGACAAAAGUUGUGGUUUCGAUAGAGUGAUUAUUCCGAAAAUGAAACGCCUGAUUUAACAUUUAUGAGAAAAUGGAAACGCUAAUUCUGUUGUAUUGGCCUUAAUCAUGACUUUUCAAAUUUUUAAGAUUACAAUUAGUUCUUUCGGUCAAAUUUUAUUCCAAUGUAAACUUUCAACAUAUAUAUAACCAUGGAUCCGGCUCCUCUAAACUGAGGAACCCGUGAAUUUAUAUAUGUAAAUUUUAUAAAAUCUAGUUAUGUUUAAUCUAUUAGUCCAAAGAAUUGACAUGUCAUUCUUCCACAAAAUUUUGUCUUCAUGAUUUUGUCGAAACAUGAGAAACUGUCGUUAACUCUAAAAAGAAAAGACCAAUCAGAAUUAAGUACAAAAUAUAUGAGCUAAUAGAAUUAAUCCGGACCACCCCCACCCGUACCCUGAUUUUGGCAGAGCAAACCAACUUGCUCCAAACAAAACAGAGUACUUUCUUUGUGGGUAUCAGAGUUCAUAUCUGACUCGUGAUCCGGGUCAACAAUUAACUCUCCUUCUAAAUCCGCCAAAUCUAUAGCAUAUGCUGCAUUUAGAACCUGCAACACAAGUGAUGGUUUCUCUUUUCCACAUACUAUAUAUUACGCCUGACUAGAGGCGGAGCCAGAAUUAUAGAUUAAGGGGGGCGAGUUACAAUAUCAAAAGGUAAUUAACUUUUGUAUAUUAGACAUCAUUGUUGCUAAAUUGAAAAAAAAAAACAAAGGUGAAAUUUGGAAUACAAUAAAUAUAUAGAGAAAGAGAGAAAUAAGUUCAUCACUUACAAUGUACAAAAUACAAUGUGAAAAGAAAUUAUUCAUUUUACGAAUAGGGAUAUGAUAAAAUUUCAUUAACGUACGAGAAAUAAAUUAGAUAAAUUAUACUUAUUAACAACAAAUGGUGUUUAUGGUUUAAUAGUAAAAAUUGGCCAAACCUUUUAAAUUAGGAUUUUUUUACUUCUAAUAAUCAUAUCAAACCUUUUGAUAACUAAUGUAUAAUUCAUAAGUUGGAAAAAAUUACAGGGUGCCAUGGCACCCAAUGGCCACAAUUAGGGCUGGCAAUUUAGGCCAUGUCGAAACCAACCAACCGUAUUAACCUACUCAAGACUCGGUAACUGACUUACUUGAUACGGUAUACCGUACCGGUCUUGGUAACAUGAUUUGUACUUGGUAUUGAAAUUUUCAUAUCAUCGGUAUACCAUACUAACCAUAUAUGUGUACUUAUACAAAAUUACACUCGUAUCUAUGUAGGAAACGAGAAUUGAACCUCUAACAUAUUACAAAUAACCUUCGCUCCCAACCACUGAAGCACAAUACGCCUAUUUUAUAUUUAUAACAUCCUACAUAUAUAAAGAAUACAAAAUGUUAAGAAUCCAUUGCGGAAGUGAGACUCGAACUUUAAACCUCUUCCAAACAACUCUCACUCUCAACUACUAAAGCAUAAGACGCUAUUAUUAUAAUAUAUGUAUUGUUUUAUAUUUAUAACAUCCUAGCAUAGAAGGAAAGGAGAGCAGCGGCUUCUCUUAACUCAUAUGCAAAAUGAUCUUGUCCGGUGGCGGCCUUAGGUCAAGGCUGGCCUCUUGGCCAUGCCAAUACCUCAUGGUUUUGCUAUCGGACGGGAUUUGAAAUUUGACCAACAGCUUGAGAGAGGAGGACCGGCGAGAGUUGUUGGUUAAAGGUUUUCUAGGGCAGCUGGAUUGUAAGGCAUGAUUGGAUUCGCCGAUUGCUUUCUUGAGUUUUGCUUUUUCAUCUGAAAUUUCCAGAUCUUGUGGCUCACAGUAAGGCUAAGACGGUUGGGCAGAUUGAUGAUGGUCGUGAGGAUGCAGCGGGCUUGGAAAUUGCUGGUCUUUAUGUAGCUGUUGUGGAUCUUGUCAGACUGUGAUGGUGACGUUGUUGGGCAACUCUAUGGAUUUCGUGGAGGUAGUGACGGAGAUGAUGAGACGGUGUAGGACGGGUAGCGGUCGGCGUGGGAGGUUGGUUUUGGUGGUGGCUGGCACGGGUCAACCUUCAACUGGGCUUUCUGGGUUGUUUUGGUUUCUAAGUUGGGCUAGGGUUUUUGUCAUAGUCCAAUUUUAAGUAUUUAGCUAGUCUAUUUACAGUAAUUCCUUUUGUUAGGAACCUAAGCAUUUGUGUGUCUAGUAUUUCUUGCUUUUCUGUUAGAAAUAAGUGAACAGAAUCUUUGUAAUGAACGGUGCUAGCAUGCCACGUCCUUAACUUGCCCAAAUGUUUGGCAAGGGAAGACAUGUAUCCGUGUCAUUCUAGCUUGAGUAUCAAUGAAAUUGCCGUAUGGCUUUACCUGUCAAAAAAUGUUUAUAACAUCCUAUAGAUAUAAAUAUAAUUAAAAUAUAAAAUGUUUAAAUUUUGGCUAGAGGUAUGUUUCGAAAAAUAUGACCACAUACCACCAGUCGACCAAAGCUAUCAUUGCAUUGUAUUUGUGCAAAAAUUAUAUUUAUCAAUUUAGUUUUUGGGCCACAAUCUAAACUUAGUAGAGGCCUAUUAUCAACCGAGUAUCAACCGUACCAACUAAGUCGGUAUACCAACUUUGGCAGUUGGUUUUGGUAAAGAAUUUUACCUACCAAUCAUAAGUUGGUUAGUACAUGAUAUUAAUAAAUAAAGUCGGUAUACCUACCAAUGCUAGCCCUAGCCUCAAUGCAACUCCGCCCAUGCGCCUGACUGCCCUUUCCCACUUGACUUCACUCUAGUGACUCCACUUUUUACUUUGCUUGACUUCUUUUUUGUUCUACUUAGCCCCUAACUUGAUGGGUGCACCUCUACCUCAUGCAAAUCUGAUACCUGCUCCUCUGCCUCAAGCCAAUCUGAUUCGUGCACCUUUUCCUCAUCCCGAAUACUCUCUUGCCAAUCCAAACUCUCCUCCUCGCAAUCCAAAACGACCGUGGCUCGCAAAAUCUGUUUAAGAACUGAUGGUCGUUGCCUAGCGCUGGCGCAUCUCUUGUUGUAUGAAUCUGAAGCCUCCAUCUCCAUUUCAUCAGAGCAUUAUCAGGCCCGGCCCGAGCGCAAUGUGGCCCGUGCGACCGCACGGGGCCCAGACCAACAAAAGCACAUCAAUGCCCAGCCUUCGUCCUUCUUUGUCACGUUGCUAAUGGCCAUUCGUCCUUCUUUGUCAGUUGUCACGUUGCUAAUUGGCCUUAAUUGGCCCAAUAUAGCCUUUGUGAUUCGAACCUUGUUUGCUCAAGAUGAAUACAUGCAACACAACCAUUCCAACCACGCACCAACUUGUUCUCUAUCUUCAUAUUUUUAUGGUUAACAUAUACCUCAUGGUUUAUUUUUUAUUUUUCAUUGGCUUGUUUUAUAGUAAUUAAUCAGAUUAAAUAUCUUAAAUAUAAACUAUUAAUGUUAUAUAGGAGAACUUGUAAAGUACUAAGGUUUAAUUAUCUUGUUCAAGAAAAAGAUUAGAAAUAUCUAUUGAAUUAUGAUUCGUGAUGUAUCUAACAUAUACUAAGACUAAUAGACAUUUCUUAAAGAUAUAAGGAAUUCACGUUAUUCUACAAGUUUCUAGAGUUUUUAUUGAAGUUUUCCGUUCUACUCUUGAUCAAGCACUUCAAACUGUGAAUCUAUCAGCAACAUGAUGCUGAUAAAGGAAUGGUGUACGAACUCUUGAGGAGAUGGUAUUAUUGGAGUACUCCAGUUCAUCGUUUAACUCUUGGACCUCCACCUCUGCUAUCAUGCCCUGCUCUUUAAAGGCCAUACUCACUUCAUGAAUUAACUUUUCCAUAAUUUGACGUUUUAUUGCCGCUCUUCUCUUGGGAGGUUUGAGUUUCUUGUUUGAUACCAAAGUUGGUUUUUUGAGAGGUGGUUUUCUAUCCAGAUCCGUCUGACUCUGACCCGUCUUUUUGCCCACCUGCAAGUUGAAUUUAGAGGCCACAUUCACCAAGUCAUCGGCCAUGAGAACUAGAGCUUCAACAUCCCCCACAGCCUCAACGGUUACGUCCGAUUUGGGUAAUGUAUACUCCCCCGUCAAGGAGGUUCGUGACAACCAUUCAAAAAGUUCAUGAUCUCCAUAGUGCUGUCCUGAAUAACAGAAGUGGUCAUCGCACUUGAUCUUUCUGAUGCGUAACAGUCCACUCACAAUGAGAAACAUCUUAUCAAAUUUGUUCUCCCCACUGGUAAUAAUAUCCCGCGACUUGUCAUUGUAUUUCAUCAGCUUAAACUUCUCGCAAAUUUCUUUCAACCCUUCUUCGUCCACAUUUUGAAGAUUCGGCACCUAAUUAAGAUUGAAAAGAGUUAAAAUAAUCUUAUAGACGAAUUGAAAUUAAGGAAGCUAGGACAUAAUCUUACCUUACCUGCUUCAGCCAAGUGAUCAACGGAUCAAAUGGGGAUAGCUUGUCCUGAACAUCCAUUGGGAGAUUGGCAGGCAGCUUCAUGAACUGCGUCAUGGAAUUAUUAGAGAAUAUGUUUCUCAAGUCAUGGACUCUGAGUUCACGAACCUCAACAAUGACGGUGUUGGCGGGGACCUUUACGCUACAGGUUGACAAGGGUACAUUGGCAGGAAAGGAGGUCUGUGAUGAUGACCAGUUUAUAACCCAAUGUACAAGUUCCUCUCCAUAAAAAUCUCUUACGCCAAGUGACUCCCUUGUACAAGGUCGAGAACUUUCAAUCGACAAACUACUCCCCUC
rnacentral:lncRNA from 1 species